rnacentral:rRNA from 1 species
GACGAACGCUGGCGGCGUGCUUAACACAUGCAAGUCGAACGGAAAGGCCCUGCUUUUGUGGGGUGCUCGAGUGGCGAACGGGUGAGUAACACGUGAGUAACCUGCCCUUGACUUUGGGAUAACUUCAGGAAACUGGGGCUAAUACCGGAUAGGAGCUCCUGCUGCAUGGUGGGGGUUGGAAAGUUUCGGCGGUUGGGGAUGGACUCGCGGCUUAUCAGCUUGUUGGUGGGGUAGUGGCUUACCAAGGCUUUGACGGGUAGCCGGCCUGAGAGGGUGACCGGCCACAUGGGGACUGAGAUACGGCGCAGACGCCUACGGGAGGCAGCAGUGGGGAAUAUGGCACAAUGGGCGGAAGCCUGAUGCAGAAACGCCGCGUGCGGGAUGACGGCCUUCGGGUUGUAAACCGCUUUAGCCUGUGACGAAGCGUGAGUGACGGUAAUGGGUAAAGAAGCACCGGCUAACUACGUG